rnacentral:rRNA from 1 species
CCUACGGGAGGCAGCAGUGAGGAAUAUUGGUCAAUGGACGAGAGUCUGAACCAGCCAAGUAGCGUGAAGGAUGACUGCCCUAUGGGUUGUAAACUUCUUUUAUAUGGGAAUAAAACGUUCCACGUGUGGGAUUUUGUAUGUACCAUAUGAAUAAGGAUCGGCUAACUCCGUGCCAGCAGCCGCGGUAAUACGGAGGAUCCGAGCGUUAUCCGGAUUUAUUGGGUUUAAAGGGAGCGUAGGUGGAUUGUUAAGUCAGUUGUGAAAGUUUGCGGCUCAACUGUAAAAUUGCAGUUGAAAAUGGCAGUCUUGAGUACAGUAGAGGUGGGCGGAAUUCGUGGUGUAGCGGUGAAAUGCUUAGAUAUCACGAAGAACUCCGAUUGCGAAGGCAGUUCACUGGACUGCAACUGACACUGAGGCUCGAAAGUGUGGGUAUCAAACAGGAUUAGAUACCCGGGUAGUC